rnacentral:tRNA from 1 species
GGUGAUUUGGCGAAUUGGUAAUUGCAUAAAGUUUAAGCCUUUACUACCAGAGGUUCACACCCUCUUCUUAACA